UAGCUCAGUUGGUAGAGUGCUUGCCUUACAUGCACAAGGUCCUGGGUUCGAUUCCCAG
rnacentral:tRNA from 1 species